GACUUGGUGGCUUUGUGGGUAAAAGCCUUGCCUCGUGAUCAAGAAGUUGCUGGUUCAAAUCUGGCCUGGUCU
rfam:Astyanax mexicanus Tnplaced_Scaffold3656, whole genome shotgun sequence.